rnacentral:rRNA from 1 species
GCAAGUCGAACGAGGGCCCAGAGCUUGCUCUGGAGACCCGAGUGGCGAACGGGUGAGUAACACGUGACCAACCUAUCCCAGGGCGGGGGACAACCGAGGGAAACCUUGGCUAAUACCGCAUGAUGUUCCGCUUUCGCAUGUUAGCGGAAUCAAAGAGGGCCUCUUCAUGAAAGCUCUCACCCAGGGAGGGGGUCGCGACGUAUCAGCUUGUUGGUGGGGUAAUGGCCUACCAAGCCUACGAUCUAUAGCUGGUUUGAGAGGAUGAUC